rnacentral:rRNA from 1 species
UACGUAGGGGGCAAGCGUUGUCCGGAAUCAUUGGGCGUAAAGCGCACGUAGGCGGCCGACUAAGUCGGGUGUGAAAGCCCUGGGCUCAACCCAGGAAGUGCACUCGAAACUGAUCGGCUUGAAUAUGGAAGAGGGUUGCGGAAUUCCCGGUGUGAGAGGUGAAAUUCGUAGAUAUCGGGAGGAACACCUGUGGCGAAAGCGGCUCACUGGACCACAACUGACGCUGAGGCGCGAAAGCUAGGGGAGCAAACAGG